rnacentral:rRNA from 1 species
GACGAACGCUGGCGGCGUGCUUAACACAUGCAAGUCGAACGGAAAGGCCCUGCUUUUGUGGGGUGCUCGAGUGGCGAACGGGUGAGUAACACGUGAGUAACCUGCCCUUGACUUUGGGAUAACUUCAGGAAACUGGGGCUAAUACCGGAUAGGAGCUCCUGCUGCAUGGUGGGGGUUGGAAAGUUUCGGCGGUUGGGGAUGGACUCGCGGCUUAUCAGCUUGUUGGUGGGGUAGUGGCUUACCAAGGCUUUGCCGGGUAGCCGGCCUGAGAGGGUGACCGGCCACAUUGGGACUGAGAUACGGCCCAGACUCCUACGGGAGGCAGCAGUGGGGAAUAUUGCACAAUGGGCGGAAGCCUGAUGCAGCAACGCCGCGUGCGGGAUGACGGCCUUCGGGUUGUAAACCGCUUUCGCCUGUGACGAAGCGUGAGUGACGGUAAUGGGUAGAGAAGCACCGGCUAACUACGUG